rnacentral:rRNA from 1 species
AUACGGAGGGUGCAAGCGUUGUUCGGAAUUAUUGGGCGUAAAGAGCAUGUAGGCGGUUCGUUAAGUCUGAUGUGAAAGCCCGGGGCUCAACCCCGGAAGUGCAUUGGAUAUUGGCGAACUUGAGUACGGGAGAGGAAAGUGGAAUUUCGAGUGUAGGGGUGAAAUCCGUAGAUAUUCGAAGGAACACCAGUGGCGAAGGCGGCUUUCUGGACCGAUACUGACGCUGAGAUGCGAAAGCGUGGGGAGCAAACAGGAUUAGAAACCCCAGUAGUCC